rnacentral:rRNA from 1 species
CUACGGGGGGCACCAGUGGGGAAUAUUGCACAAUGGAGGAAACUCUGAUGCAGCAACGCCGCGUGGAGGAUGACACUUUUCGGAGCGUAAACUCCUUUUAUAUAGGAAGAAGAUGACGGUACUAUAUGAAUAAGCGCCGGCUAACUCCGUGCCAGCAGCCGCGGUGAAUACGGAGGGCGCAAGCGUUACUCGGAAUCACUGGGCGUAAAGAGCGUGUAGGCGGAUUAAAAAGUCAGAAGUGAAAUCCUAUAGCUUAACUAUAGAACUGCUUCUGAAACUCUUAAUCUAGAAUAUGGGAGAGGUAGAUGGAAUUUCUGGUGUAGGGGUAAAAUCCGUAGAGAUCAGAAGGAAUACCGAUUGCGAAGGCGAUCUACUAGAACAUUAUUGACGCUGAGACGCGAAAGCGUGGGGAGCAAACAGGAUUAGAUACCCGGGUAGUC